AUUGAACGCUGGCGGCAGGCCUAACACAUGCAAGUCGAGCGGAUGAAGGGAGCUUGCUCCUGGAUUCAGCGGCGGACGGGUGAGUAAUGCCAGGGAAUCUGCUUGGUAGUGGGGGAUAACGUCCGGAAACGGCCGCUAAUACCGCAUACGCCCUGCGGGGGAAAGUGGGGGUUCUUCGGCCCUCACGCUACCAAAUGAGCCAAGGUCGGAUUAGCUAGUUGGUGGGGUAAAGGCCUACCAAGGCGACGAUCCGUAACUGGUCUGAGAGGAUGAUCAGUCACACUGGAACUGAGACACGGUCCAGACUCCUACGGGAGGCAGCAGUGGGGAAUAUUGGACAAUGGGCGAAAGCCUGAUCCAGCCAUGCCGCGUGUGUGAAGAAGGUCUUCGGAUUGUAAAGCACUUUAAGUUGGGAGGAAGGGCAGUAAGUUAAUACCUUGCUGUUUUGACGUUACCAACAGAAUAAGCACCGGCUAACUUCGUG
rnacentral:rRNA from 1 species